rnacentral:rRNA from 1 species
UACGAAGGGUGCAAGCGUUAAUCGGAAUUACUGGGCGUAAAGCGUGCGUAGGCGGUCUUUUAAGUCUGCUGUGAAAUCCCCGGGCUCAACCUGGGAAUGGCAGUGGAUACUGGGAGGCUAGAGUGCGGGAGAGGAGAGUGGAAUUCCUGGUGUAGCGGUGAAAUGCGCAGAUAUCAGGAAGAACACCCGUGGCGAAGGCGGCUCUCUGGAACGCAACUGACGCUGAGACGCGAAAGCGUGGGGAGCGAACAGG